rnacentral:tRNA from 1 species
ACCGAAAUAGCUCAGUUGGGAGAGAGUUAGACUGUAGACUGAAAAGUCCCCGGUUCAAUCCCGGGUUCUGGCA